rnacentral:sRNA from 1 species
CAUAAGAUGGCUGAACAA